rnacentral:rRNA from 1 species
CCUCAAAUCAGGUAGGACUACCCGCUGGACUUAAGCAUAUCAAUAAGCGGAGGAAAAGAAACUAACAAGGAUUCCCCUAGUAACUGCGAGUGAAGCGGGAAAAGCUCAAAUUUAAAAUCUGGCAGUUUAGCUGUCCGAGUUGUAAUCUAGAGAAGUGUUAUCCGCGUUGGACCAUGUACAAGUCUCCUGGAAUGGAGCAUCAUAGAGGGUGAGAAUCCCGUCUUUGACGUGGACUACCAGUGCUUUGUGAUGCGCUCUCAAAGAGUCGAGUUGUUUGGGAAUGCAGCUCAAAAUGGGUGGUAAAUUCCAUCUAAAGCUAAAUAUUGGCGAGAGACCGAUAGCGAACAAGUACCGUGAGGGAAAGAUGAAAAGAACUUUGGAAAGAGAGUUAAACAGUACGUGAAAUUGCUGAAAGGGAAACGCUUGAAGUCAGUCACAUUGGCUAGAAAUCAACCUUGCUUUUGCUGGGCGUACUUUCUAGUUAAUGGGUCAGCAUCAAUUUUGACUAUUGGAAAAAGUUCAGAGGAAUGUGGCAUCUUUGGAUGUGUUAUAGCCUUUGUUCGCAUACAAUGGUUGGGAUUGAGGAUCUCAGCACGCCGAAAGGCCGGGUUUCGACCACGUUCGUGCUUAGGAUGCUGGCA